rnacentral:rRNA from 1 species
GUGGGGAAUAUUGGACAAUGGGCGAAAGCCUGAUCCAGCCAUGCCGCGUAUGUGAAGAAGGUCUUCGGAUUGUAAAGCACUUUAAGUUGGGAGGAAGGGCAGUAAGUUAAUACCUUGCUGUUUUGACGUUACCGACAGAAUAAGCACCGGCUAACUUCGUGCCAGCAGCCGCGGUAAUACGAAGGGUGCAAGCGUUAAUCGGAAUUACUGGGCGUAAAGCGCGCGUAGGUGGUUUUGUAAGUUGGAGGUGAAAUCCCCGGGCUCAACCUGGGAACUGCCUCCAAAACUGCAUGACUAGAGUACGGUAGAGGGUAGUGGAAUUUCCUGUGUAGCGGUGAAAUGCGUAGAUAUAGGAAGGAACACCAGUGGCGAAGGCGACUACCUGGACUGAUACUGACACUGAGGUGCGAAAGCGUGGGGAGCAAACAGGAUUAGAAACCCUGGUAGUCC